rnacentral:rRNA from 1 species
UUAAGCGACUAAGCGUACACGGUGGAUGCCCUGGCAGUCAGAGGCGAUGAAGGACGUGCUAAUCUGCGAAAAGCGCCGGCGAGGUGAUAUGAACCUUUGACCCGGCGAUGUCCGAAUGGGGAAACCCAGUGCAAUUCGUUGCACUAUCGUUAACUGAAUACAUAGGUUAACGAGGCGAACCGGGGGAACUGAAACAUCUAAGUACCCCGAGGAAAAGAAAUCAACCGAGAUUCCCCCAGUAGCGGCGAGCGAACGGGGAGCAGCCCAGAGUCUGAAUCAGCUUGUGUGUUAGUGGAAGCGUCUGGAAAGUCGCACGGUACAGGGUGACAGUCCCGUACACGAAAGCACACAGGCUGUGAACUCGAAGAGUAGGGCGGGACACGUGGUAUCCUGUCUGAAUAUGGGGGGACCAUCCUCCAAGGCUAAAUACUCCUGACUGACCGAUAGUGAACCAGUACCGUGAGGGAAAGGCGAAAAGAACCCCGGCGAGGGGAGUGAAAAAGAACCUGAAACCGUGUACGUACAAGCAGUGGGAGCACCUUCGUGGUGUGACUGCGUACCUUUUGUAUAAUGGGUCAGCGACUUAUAUUCUGUAGCAAGGUUAACCGUAUAGGGGAGCCGAAGGGAAACCGAGUCUUAACUGGGCGUUAAGUUGCAGGGUAUAGACCCGAAACCCGGUGAUCUAGCCAUGGGCAGGUUGAAGGUUGGGUAACACUAACUGGAGGACCGAACCGACUAAUGUUGAAAAAUUAGCGGAUGACUUGUGGCUGGGGGUGAAAGGCCAAUCAAACCGGGAGAUAGCUGGUUCUCCCCGAAAGCUAUUUAGGUAGCGCCUCGUGAACUCAUCUUCGGGGGUAGAGCACUGUUUCGGCUAGGGGGCCAUCCCGGCUUACCAACCCGAUGCAAACUACGAAUACCGAAGAAUGUUAUCACGGGAGACACACGGCGGGUGCUAACGUCCGUCGUGAAGAGGGAAACAACCCAGACCGCCAGCUAAGGUCCCAAAGUCAUGGUUAAGUGGGAAACGAUGUGGGAAGGCACAGACAGCCAGGAUGUUGGCUUAGAAGCAGCCAUCAUUUAAAGAAAGCGUAAUAGCUCACUGGUCGAGUCGGCCUGCGCGGAAGAUGUAACGGGGCUAAACCAUGCACCGAAGCUGCGGCAGCGACGCUUAUGCGUUGUUGGGUAGGGGAGCGUUCUGUAAGCCGUUGAAGGUGUGCUGUGAGGCAUGCUGGAGGUAUCAGAAGUGCGAAUGCUGACAUAAGUAACGAUAAAGCGGGUGAAAAGCCCGCUCGCCGGAAGACCAAGGGUUCCUGUCCAACGUUAAUCGGGGCAGGGUGAGUCGACCCCUAAGGCGAGGCCGAAAGGCGUAGUCGAUGGGAAACAGGUUAAUAUUCCUGUACUUGGUGUUACUGCGAAGGGGGGACGGAGAAGGCUAUGUUAGCCGGGCGACGGUUGUCCCGGUUUAAGCAUGUAGGCGGAACGAUUAGGUAAAUCCGGUCGUUUAUUAACGCUGAGGUGUGAUGACGAGGCACUACGGUGCUGAAGUAACAAAUGCCCUGCUUCCAGGAAAAGCCUCUAAGCAUCAGGUAACACGAAAUCGUACCCCAAACCGACACAGGUGGUCAGGUAGAGAAUACCAAGGCGCUUGAGAGAACUCGGGUGAAGGAACUAGGCAAAAUGGUGCCGUAACUUCGGGAGAAGGCACGCUGAUAUGUAGGUGAAGCCCCUGCGGGUGGAGCUGAAAUCAGUCGAAGAUACCAGCUGGCUGCAACUGUUUAUUAAAAACACAGCACUGUGCAAACACGAAAGUGGACGUAUACGGUGUGACGCCUGCCCGGUGCCGGAAGGUUAAUUGAUGGGGUUAGCGGUAACGCGAAGCUCUUGAUCGAAGCCCCGGUAAACGGCGGCCGUAACUAUAACGGUCCUAAGGUAGCGAAAUUCCUUGUCGGGUAAGUUCCGACCUGCACGAAUGGCGUAAUGAUGGCCAGGCUGUCUCCACCCGAGACUCAGUGAAAUUGAACUCGCUGUGAAGAUGCAGUGUACCCGCGGCAAGACGGAAAGACCCCGUGAACCUUUACUAUAGCUUGACACUGAACACUGGUCCUUGAUGUGUAGGAUAGGUGGGAGGCUUUGAAGCGUGGACGCCAGUCUGCGUGGAGCCGACCUUGAAAUACCACCCUUUAAUGGCUGGUGUUCUAACGUAGACCCGUAAUCCGGGUUGCGGACAGUGUCUGGUGGGUAGUUUGACUGGGGCGGUCUCCUCCCAAAGAGUAACGGAGGAGCACGAAGGUUAGCUAAUCCUGGUCGGACAUCAGGAGGUUAGUGCAAUGGCAUAAGCUAGCUUGACUGCGAGAGUGACGGCUCGAGCAGGUGCGAAAGCAGGUCAUAGUGAUCCGGUGGUUCUGAAUGGAAGGGCCAUCGCUCAACGGAUAAAAGGUACUCCGGGGAUAACAGGCUGAUACCGCCCAAGAGUUCAUAUCGACGGCGGUGUUUGGCACCUCGAUGUCGGCUCAUCACAUCCUGGGGCUGAAGUAGGUCCCAAGGGUAUGGCUGUUCGCCAUUUAAAGUGGUACGCGAGCUGGGUUUAGAACGUCGUGAGACAGUUCGGUCCCUAUCUGCCGUGGGCGCUGGAGAAUUGAGGGGGGCUGCUCCUAGUACGAGAGGACCGGAGUGGACGCAUCACUGGUGUUCGGGUUGUCAUGCCAAUGGCACUGCCCGGUAGCUAAAUGCGGAAAAGAUAAGUGCUGAAAGCAUCUAAGCACGAAACUUGCCCCGAGAUGAGUUCUCCCUGACCCUUUAAGGGUCCUGAAGGAACGUUGAAGACUACGACGUUGAUAGGUCGGGUGUGUAAGCGCAGCGAUGCGUUGAGCUAACCGAUACUAAUGAACCGUGAGGCUUAACCU